CUUGUUACUCUAUUCAUCCACCCUCUAGCUUUCUGCUGAUGCAGCUAUAGCAGCUAAUGGCUCAAAACCCAGGAGUCAACAGGUAGUGAAAAGCCUGUCUGCAGACUGCUGUCGCAUGCCCACCACUGAAAUAGGGAAUUGCCAACAGGCAGUUACAACAAUCAUUUCCCAAUUGAUGGUAACCAAACACAUUUUCUGUGAAGAUGAUGUUGGAUUCUGGUGCAGAAUACAGCAAAUUCCCUAUUUGACCUUGCUGGUACUUUAUUAAGCAGAAGAUGAGAGAUCUGACAGCUGGUGUUACUACAGAAAUCUUCAGAAGACUUGUACUAUGCCCCUUAGAUGUGACAGAGUCCUUAAAUCGGUGCA